rnacentral:rRNA from 1 species
AUACGGAGGAUGCGAGCGUUAUCCGGAUUUAUUGGGUUUAAAGGGUGCGUAGGCGGCAGAUUAAGUCAGCGGUAAAAUUUCCAGGCUCAACCUGGUCGUGCCGUUGAAACUGGUUUGCUUGAGUCUAGAUGAAGUGGGCGGAAUUUGUAGUGUAGCGGUGAAAUGCAUAGAUAUUACAAGGAACUCCAAUUGCGCAGGCAGCUCACUAAACUAUCACUGACGCUGAAGCACGAAAGCGUGGGUAUCAAACAGGAUUAGAUACCCUGGUAGUCCACGCAGUAAACGAUGAUUACUCGCUGUUUGCGAUAUACAGUAAGCGGCUUAGCGAAAGCGUUAAGUAAUCCACCUGGGGAGUACGCCGGCAACGGUGAA